UUUUUUUGAAAAGAAAAUAUUUUUUCUCCCUCAAAUUGUGACAUUAUAUAAAUCAUUUUUUUUUUUUCAUGCGUAAAAAUUGUAAAGGAUUUGUUCUUCGUUUUGUGAUAAAAGAAAAAAUUUUAGUAACUCACCUUUUUCAACAUCGGUACGCUUCAUCGCGUAAAUUCAUCCAAAAUAAUCAGUGAUAUUAGUCAACUCGAAUAAAUGCACAUAAAAUAAAAUGAAAUUUUUUCCAAAUGACUGCCCGUAUUGGAAAAAAUUUUCGAAAAUUGAUAUUAACAUAUGUCAGUUGUGAAAAACGUAAAAUUUCUUGGUUUCCUACGUGUCGUAUGAAAUUAUGAUUUAUAGAAAAAAUCGCUUUUGCAUGUUUCGGAAAACUUUUCAACAAUAGGAUGAAGAAUUUCAACGUUUUUUCGGUCGAAAAAAUGCAUUGGCCGCCUCUAUGCAAAGAGGCAGAUUACACUUUCGCCAUUUCUAAGGAUAUGAAAUUUGGCAGGACAAGGCAAUAUGGUCAACAGAAAAGGCGCAAAGACUAGAUUGGUUUAAAGCUAAUAAAGGUCACUUUCCGUGACCGCGUGAAAUUGACUUCGUGAUCUAGAAUGAAUACAAUGCCUGUGCUUCAUGCAUCUCUUCUCAGCAGAGGUGGACCGUUUAACUUUGGUGAGAGAAGCUGUUGUACAAAAUGCAGCUACUAAGAGGAUCAGAUUUUUCAAGCUUAACAAUAAUUUAAAAUUCUCUGCUCACGCCCAUCAUUAAGCCGCCUAAAUAGCAUCUACAGAAAAUGGUACUUGAUCGUAACCUCUUGUAGUCCCCAUCAGGACCAAUGAUAUCUUCGCCAAUGUUUCAUUAGUUUCAAUUUACAAAAACUGAGAUAAAAUGGCAAAGAUGAAGCGCAAACCCACAAGGACGACGAGACUGGCUUUACCAAUUAAGACCACCUAGCUGAUAAACAAUUGUCGAAAAAUUAGAACAAGAUGAAGUGUACAACUAAAAGACAAAAUUCGUAUCAUCACGAAACAAAGCGACAACUUAUCUCAGUUAGGUUGAUUAACAAAAUUUCAUUCUUAUCCUUUAAAAAAAUGAACAUAGAAAUAAUAAAUAAUAAUGCAAUGGCUGAUGAAAGGAUGUGUAAUUUUGAAUGCUUUGAUCCACCUUUUUAACAGCGAACAUCAGUAAACGAGUAUCUGAUUGUUUUACAUGAGUAGCUUUUCGCAAAGAUUAAUUAUUUUCUUUGCGUGAGUGAUCGCUUCCUCCUCUUUCCGAUUUGGACGAAUAAUAGAGGAUAUCUCACAAUUCACGUAGGGCAAUGCGGAAUAGUGAUUUAACUUCGUUAAAUAUGAAGAGAUUAUUUUAAAAAUGUGGAAAGACUAGAUCACUUGGCUUUCUUAAAAAUGUAGAGUUACAGGUUAGUUAUAUUCAUUCCAUCAUUUCGCUUGAAAGUUAGUGAAGGUCGUAUAGAGUACAGAUAAAUUUACUUUGACUUAAAUGAUAAACAGCAACUAAAAGCAAAACAAUGAAAAAUAAGUGAAAACGUUAAGUCAACACAAAAUUGACCAUUACCUUACGAAGCUUCACCCGAUAACGAAUAAUCAAAUUGGUAUCUUUUUUUCAAAGUCAUAACGUCUGUAAGGUCUGCGUAACAGUACUCAGUUGUAUAGCGUACAAUAAGCAAGUUUAAAGUUUCAAAAGUAGCUUUCAUUGCAAAUCCCAGCGAAUUUUGCGGUUAUUAAUUUGCUGAACAACAGAAGAUGAAGAAAAAGAAAA